UACGUAGGGGGCAAGCGUUGUCCGGAUUUAUUGGGCGUAAAGGGCGCGUAGGCGGUUUCUUAAGUUUGAAGUGACAGUGGGUGGCUUAACUACCCAAGGCCUUUGAAAACUGGGGAUCUUGAGGACCAGAGAGGGACAUAGAAUUCCGGGUGGAGUGGUGAAAUGCGUAGAUAUCCGGAGGAAUACCAAAGGCGAAGGCAGUGUCCUGGAGGGUUAACUGACGCUGAGGCGCGAAAGCUAGGGGAGCGAACAGG
rnacentral:rRNA from 1 species